rnacentral:rRNA from 1 species
GAUGAACGCUGGCGGCGUGCCUAAUACAUGCAAGUCGAGCGAACGGACGAGAAGCUUGCUUCUCUGAUGUUAGCGGCGGACGGGUGAGUAACACGUGGAUAACCUACCUAUAAGACUGGGAUAACUUCGGGAAACCGGAGCUAAUACCGGAUAAUAUUUUGAACCGCAUGGUUCAAAAGUGAAAGACGGUCUUGCUGUCACUUAUAGAUGGAUCCGCGCUGCAUUAGCUAGUUGGUAAGGUAACGGCUUACCAAGGCAACGAUGCAUAGCCGACCUGAGAGGGUGAUCGGCCACACUGGAACUGAGACACGGUCCAGACUCCUACGGGAGGCAGCAGUAGGGAAUCUUCCGCAGUGGGCGAAAGCCUGACGGAGCAACGCCGCGUGAGUGAUGAAGGUCUUCGGAUCGUAAAACUCUGUUAUUAGGGAAGAACAUAUGGUAAGUAACUGUGCACAUCUUGACGGUACCUAAUCAGAAAGCCACGGCUAACUACGUG